GAUGAACGCUGGCGGCGUGCCUAAUACAUGCAAGUCGAGCGAACAGACGAGGAGCUUGCUCCUCUGACGUUAGCGGCGGACGGGUGAGUAACACGUGGAUAACCUACCUAUAAGACUGGGAUAACUUCGGGAAACCGGAGCUAAUACCGGAUAACAUGUUGAACCGCAUGGUUCAACAGUGAAAGACGGUUUUGCUGUCACUUAUAGAUGGAUCCGCGUCGCAUUAGCUAGUUGGUAAGGUAACGGCUUACCAAGGCAACGAUGCGUAGCCGACCUGAGAGGGUGAUCGGCCACACUGGAACUGAGACACGGUCCAGACUCCUACGGGAGGCAGCCGUAGGGAAUCUUCCGCAAUGGGCGAAAGCCUGACGGAGCAACGCCGCGUGAGUGAAGAAGGUCUUCGGAUCGUAAAACUCUGUUAUUAGGGAAGAACAAAUGUGUAAGUAACUAUGCACGUCUUGACGGUACCUAAUCAGAAAGCCACGGCUAACUACGUG
rnacentral:rRNA from 1 species